rnacentral:rRNA from 1 species
GACGAACGCUGGCGGCGUGGAUUAGGCAUGCAAGUCGAACGGUAUCAUCCUUUCGGGGGUGAGAGAGUGGCGAACUGGUGAGUAACACGUAGGUUAUCUACCCUCAAGACGGGGACAACCCAGGGAAACUUGGGCUAAUACCGGAUGUGAGCAACUUUUAGUUGUUUGAAAGGUGGCGUAAGCUGUCGCUUGGGGAUGAGCCUGCGUCCUAUUAGUUAGUUGGUGAGGUAACGGCUCACCUAGGCAAUGAUAGGUAGGCGGCCUUAACGGGUGGUCGCCCACACUGGGAUUGAGAUACGGCCCAGACUCCUACGGGAGGCAGCAGUCGAGAAUAGUCUACAAUGGUCGGAAGACUGAUAGUGCGACGCCGCGUGAACGAUGAAUCCCUUCGGGGUGUAAAGUUCUUUUAUAUGUGAGCAGUGCUUCUUAUAUUAACAGUAUGGGGAGAGAGAUAUUAGCAUAUGAAUAAGCAACGGCUAACUCCGUGCCAGCAGCCGCGGUAAAAU